rnacentral:rRNA from 1 species
GGCUUCACGCAUGCUACAAUGGCCGGUACAGAGGGUUGCGAGCCUGUGAGGGUGAGCUAAUCUCUUAAAGCUGGUCUCAGUUCGGAUUGGGGUCUGCAACUCGACCCCAUGAAGUCGGAGUCGCUAGUAAUCGCAGAUCAGCAACGCUGCGGUGAAUACGUUCUCGGGCCUUGUACACACCGCCCGUCACGUCACGAAAGUUGGUAACACCCGAAGCCCGUGGCCUAACCUUUUGGGGGGAGCGGUCGAAGGUGGGAUUGGCGAUUGGGACGAAGUCGUAACAAGGUAGCCGUACCGGAAGGUGCGGCUGGAUCACCUCCUUUCUAAGGAG